rnacentral:rRNA from 1 species
UACGGGGGGGGCAAGCGUUGUUCGGAAUUACUGGGCGUAAAGGGCGCGUAGGCGGCCUUCUAAGUCAGACGUGAAAUCCCUCGGCUUAACCGGGGAACUGCGUCUGAUACUGGAUGGCUUGAGGUUGGGAGAGGGAUGCGGAAUUCCAGGUGUAGCGGUGAAAUGCGUAGAUAUCUGGAGGAACACCGGUGGCGAAGGCGGCAUCCUGGACCAAUUCUGACGCUGAGGAGCGAAAGCCAGGGGAGCAAACGGG